rnacentral:rRNA from 1 species
AUUGAACGCUGGCGGCAGGCCUAACACAUGCAAGUCGGGCGAGCGGCGGACGGGUGAGUAAUGUAUGGGGAUCUGCCUGAUGGAGGGGGAUAACUACUGGAAACGGUAGCUAAUACCGCAUACCAUCAGAUGAACCCAUAUGGGAUUAGGUUGUAGGUGAGGUAACGGCUCACCUACGCGACGAUCCCUAGCUGGUAUGAGAGGAUGAUACUCCCCUCUGGGACUGAGACACGGCCCACACUCCUCCCUUCUUCCUCCCUUUCUCUUAUUUCAAUCUUUACGCAAGCCUGAUUCAGCCAUGCCGCGUGUAUGAACACCACCUUCAGAUUUUCACGUACUUUCAGUCGGGAGGCGUUACCGACAGAAGAAGCACCGGCUAACUCCGUGCCAGCAGCCGCGGUAAUAC